rnacentral:rRNA from 1 species
CUGCCGUGGGCGUUGGAGAAUUGAAAGGGGCUGCUCCUAGUACGAGAGGACCGGAGUGGACGCACCACUGGUGUUCCGGUUGUGUCGCCAGACGCAUUGCCGGGUAGCUAAGUGCGGAAGAGAUAAGUGCUGAAAGCAUCUAAGCACGAAACUUGCCUUGAGAUGAGUUCUCCCUGUCUUUAAGACAGUAAGGGUUGUUUAAGACUAAGACGUAGAUAGGUCUGGUGUGUAAGCGGUGUGAGCCGUUGAGCUAACAGAUACUAAUUGCCCGAGAGGCUUAACUAUACAACGCUCAAGGGUUUUG